rnacentral:rRNA from 1 species
AUGCAGUCGAGCGGUAGAGAGAAGCUUGCUUCUCUUGAGAGCGGCGGACGGGUGAGUAAUGCCUAGGAAUCUGCCUGGUAGUGGGGGAUAACGUUCGGAAACGGACGCUAAUACCGCAUACGUCCUACGGGAGAAAGCAGGGGACCUUCGGGCCUUGCGCUAUCAGAUGAGCCUAGGUCGGAUUAGCUAGUUGGUGGGGUAAUGGCUCACCAAGGCGACGAUCCGUAACUGGUCUGAGAGGAUGAUCAGUCACACUGGAACUGAGACACGGUCCAGACUCCUACGGGAGGCAGCAGUGGGGAAUAUUGGACAAUGGGCGAAAGCCUGAUCCAGCCAUGCCGCGUGUGUGAAGAAGGUCUUCGGAUUGUAAAGCACUUUAAGUUGGGAGGAAGGGCAGUAAAUUAAUACUUUGCUGUUUUGACGUUACCGACAGAAUAAGCACCGGCUAACUCUGUGCCAGCAGCCGCGGUAAUACAGAGGGUGCAAGCGUUAAUCGGAAUUACUGGGCGUAAAGCGCGCGUAGGUGGUUAGUUAAGUUGGAUGUGAAAUCCCCGGGCUCAACCUGGGAACUGCAUUCAAAACUGUCGAGCUAGAGUAUGGUAGAGGGUGGUGGAAUUUCCUGUGUAGCGGUGAAAUGCGUAG